rnacentral:rRNA from 1 species
AUUGAACGCUGGCGGCAUGCCUUACACAUGCAAGUCGAACGGCAGCACGGGAGCAAUCCUGGUGACGAGUGGCGAACGGGUGAGUAAUAUAUCGGAACGUGCCCAGUCGUGGGGGAUAACGUAGCGAAAGCUACGCUAAUACCGCAUACGAUCUAUGGAUGAAAGCGGGGGAUCGCAAGACCUCGCGCGAUUGGAGCGGCCGAUAUCAGAUUAGGUAGUUGGUGAGGUAAAGGCUCACCAAGCCGACGAUCUGUAGCUGGUCUGAGAGGACGACCAGCCACACUGGGACUGAGACACGGUCCAGACUCCUACGGGAGGCAGCAGUGAGGAAUAUUGGUCAAUGGACGCAAGUCUGAACCAGCCAUGCCGCGUGCAGGAUGACGGUCCUAUGGAUUGUAAACUGCUUUUGUACGAGAAGAAACAACAUUACGUGUAAUGUCUUGACGGUAUCGUAAGAAUAAGGAUCGG